rnacentral:rRNA from 1 species
UCUACGGGAUGCAGCAGUGAGGAAUAUUGGUCAAUGGGCGCGCGCCUGAACCAGCCAAGUCGCGUGAGGGAUGACGGUCCUACGGAUUGUAAACCUCUUUUGCCGGGGAGCAAGCGUGCGUUCGUGAACGCGCGUCGAGAGUACCCGGAGAAAAAGCAUCGGCUAACUACGUGCCAACAGCCGCGGUAAUACGGAGGAUGCGAGCGUUAUCCGGUUUUAUUGGGGUUAAAGGGUGCGUAGGCGGAUCGUUAAGUCAGUGGUCAAAUUGCGGGGCUCAACCCCUUCCCGCCAUUGAAACUGGCGCUCUUGAGUGGAAGAGAAGUAUGCGGAAUGCGUGGUGUAGCGGUGAAAUGCAUAGAUAUCACGCAGAACCCCGAUUGCGAAGGCAGCAUGCCGGCUUCCGACUGACGCUGAAGCACGAAAGCGUGGGGAUCGAACAGGAUUAGAUACCCCUGUAGUC